UACGAAGGGGGCUAGCGUUGCUCGGAAUUACUGGGCGUAAAGCGCGCGUAGGCGGCUUUGUAAGUUAGAGGUGAAAGCCCGGGGCUCAACCCCGGAAUUGCCUUUAAGACUGCAUCGCUUGAAUCCGGGAGAGGUGAGUGGAAUUCCGAGUGUAGAGGUGAAAUUCGUAGAUAUUCGGAAGAACACCAGUGGCGAAGGCGACUUACUGGACACAUAUUGACGCUGAGGUGCGAAAGCGUGGGGAGCAAACAGG
rnacentral:rRNA from 1 species